rnacentral:rRNA from 1 species
UACGUAGGUGGCAAGCGUUAUCCGGAUUUAUUGGGCGUAAAGGGAGCGCAGGCGGUCUUUUAAGUCUGAUGUGAAAGCCUUCGGCUUAACCGGAGUAGUGCAUUGGAAACUGGGAGACUUGAGUGCAGAAGAGGAGAGUGGAACUCCAUGUGUAGCGGUGAAAUGCGUAGAUAUAUGGAAGAACACCAGUGGCAAAAGCGGCUCUCUGGUCUGUAACUGACGCUGAGGUUCGAAAGCGUGGGUAGCAAACAGG